rnacentral:tRNA from 1 species
CUGCCCGUGGCACAGUGGAUAGCGCGCGAGACUCCGACUCUCGAGGUCAGCGGUUCAAAUCCGCUCGGGCAGG